rnacentral:rRNA from 1 species
UACGAGGGGGGCAAGCGUUGUUCGGAAUUAUUGGGCGUAAAGGGUGCGUAGGCGGUUUGGUAAGUCUUAUGUGAAAUCUACAGGCUCAACCUGUAGUCUGCAUGAGAAACUGCCGGGCUUGAGUAUGGGAGAGGUGAGUGGAAUUCCUGGUGUAGCGGUGAAAUGCGUAGAUAUCAGGAGGAACACCUGUGGCGAAAGCGGCUCACUGGACCAUAACUGACGCUGAUGCACGAAAGCUAGGGGAGCAAACAGG